AUUGAACGCUGGCGGCAUGCCUUACACAUGCAAGUCGAACGGCAGCACGGACUUCGGUCUGGUGGCGAGUGGCGAACGGGUGAGUAAUGUAUCGGAACGUGCCUAGUAGUGGGGGAUAACUAGUCGAAGGAUUAGCUAAUACCGCAUACGACCUACGGGUGAAAGUGGGGGAUCGCAAGACCUCAUGCUAUUAGAGCGGCCGAUAUCAGAUUAGCUAGUUGGUGGGGUAAAGGCCCACCAAGGCAACGAUCUGUAGCUGGUCUGAGAGGACGACCAGCCACACUGGGACUGGGACACGGCCCAGACUCCUACGGGAGGCAGCAGUGGGGAAUUUUGGACAAUGGGGGCAACCCUGAUUCAGCAAUGCCGCGUGUGUGAAGAAGGCCUUCGGGUUGUAAAGCACUUUUGUCAGAGAAGAAAACUGUUGCGCUAAUAUCGCGACGGGAUGACGGUAUCUGAAGAAUAAGGUCCGGCUAACUACGUGCCAGCCGCCGCCGUAA
rnacentral:rRNA from 1 species